AGACACUGUGUGACUCCGAUCCAUUCUUUAUAUUUCUUGUAUGCUCCGCUAUCCUUACAUAUAGGCAUCUGAUUGUUCUGCCUAUAUAAAGGAGGUUGCAUGGACAUUUUAACACAUAAAUCACUCCUUUAGAGUGACACGUUAGGUGGUCUUUAAUUAAAAAAUGUUUAUUUAUUCAAGGUUCCAUGUCUAUUGUGUCGUUUUCUACUUUUUGUGUUCCUGCAUGCUAAGCACUGCCCGAAGC